rnacentral:rRNA from 1 species
GGCCGAAUCGACCGGUCGGUCUUUGACUUGUACUGGGAGAUUCGGUCUUACCUUCUGGGCUCCAUUGUGCCUUUAAUAGGGUGCUUUGGCAGUCCAGGACAUUUACCUUGAAGAAAUUAGAGUGUUCAAGGCAGGCUUACGCUUGAAUACAUUAGCAUGGAAUAACAGAAUAGGACUUUGGUUCUAUUUUGUUGGUUUGAGGACCAAAGUA